rnacentral:rRNA from 1 species
UGGGGAAUAUUGCACAAUGGGCGCAAGCCUGAUGCAGCCAUGCCGCGUGUAUGAAGAAGGUCUUCGGAUUGUAAAGCACUUUAAGUUGGGAGGAAGGGCAUUAACCUAAUACGUUAGUGUUUUGACGUUACCGACAGAAUAAGCACCGGCUAACUCUGUGCCAGCAGCCGCGGUAAUACAGAGGGUGCAAGCGUUAAUCGGAAUUACUGGGCGUAAAGCGCGCGUAGGUGGUUUGUUAAGUGGGAUGUGAAAUCCCCGGGCUCAACCUGGGAACUGCAUUCAAAACUGACUGACUAGAGUAUGGUAGAGGGUGGUGGAAUUUCCUGUGUAGCGGUGAAAUGCGUAGAUAUAGGAAGGAACACCAGUGGCGAAGGCGACCACCUGGACUAAUACUGACACUGAGGUGCGAAAGCGUGGGGAGCAAACA